UUUUUUUUCCUUUCAGUUACAAUAUGAGCAUAAACAACACUAACUGAACCUUAGGACUAGAUGUGACAAAGCAGACCUGGAGCUGUUCCAGGCUGUCCCCACUGGAGAGAGCAGCACCAGAACAGGGAUGCCUAAGGGCCACUGAGGGAGAUAGCUGACCCACAGCUGCAGGGAACAGUCCUGUAUGUCCUAUUGUCCCCAGCUCCUUGGAGGUUGGAUACAAUGUUUUGGAAGGGUUUUCAAGCAAGUAAAGCUGUCCUGCAGGAGCUUUUUUCAAGCAGUGCAGCCAGGGUGUGCAAGCUGGUGGGAACAGUGGUUUGGGAUUGGCAGAGGUGGCCCUUGGGCACUGAGACUCCACAGCACUUCACAAAGAUUUUGUUCAGGACAAGGGUGUCCCUAGAAAGUGGAGCCUGGCCCUUUUGCCAUUGAAUUUGUAGGUAAUACACACAACUAGGAGAUGUGUCACCUCUGAGGAACAGGCAGCUGAGACCCACCAUGGCACAUUUUUCUCUGCCAAACUCAUUGCUCGGCUCCCCCCAGUCUGUAAUGGGAUCUGUGGGGUGCAGUGCAGGGUCAGUGUCUGGGUCUGCUGGGCUGGGCAGGUCACAGCACAGCUGUGCUGGGGACCACUCUUGUGUGGGAAGAUGUUUCAAGACACCAAGGAUGGGCCAGAGGAUUGGCAGUGCAGGGAUUCAAGUCACUGCACUAAUCCAGUUUUUCCAGAGUGGGAACCUAAAUCACCUUGCUAGGGAAGAAUGGGAGAUAGAAAUCCCACAGGGUAGAAUGAGGGUGAAGAAAGGAGACCUCUCUCUCUUCUACCACAUUCCCCAUUUCUCUCCAGUGCUUCAAAGUUUAGCACAGCAAAACGGAGCAGCACAGCCAAAGAUCUCAGUGGUAAGAAGGAAUAAAAGGGUGGUUAUUGCUACCAUGUAGGAUUAUGGUGAGGACAGAGAGGCUGCAAAAAUACCCUGACUGAAGCAAGAAGAAAGAAAGGAGAGAAAAAGGGAAGAAGCGUGGGUGGAAGGGAAGGAGAAAGAGAAGUAGGGAAGGAGAAGGAGGGAAGCAGAAACAGAGGGGGGGAGCUAGGGAAGGAAGGUGACUUUUAUCACACUUCUUUGGUGUAUCUCCAUUCACUAAGGCCUCACUGAUAAAAUGGGGAUUAACCAUCCAAAAUACAAAAGCAAAACCACUCACUUCAAGGGUAGGGCAAAUGAUAAUAUCCUCUCUUUAACACUGCUCCUCUGUAUCCUUCUCUGGUGCCAUGCAGCAAGCAGGAGAGUCACUGAGGCUGAGCAGUGUACCCCAGGUAUUUACUGGACUUCAUGGGAGCUCCUGCAGCCCUGCAUGAUGGCAGUCCCUCACUACCUGGUCUCUAAUGAGAGAUCAUCUCACGGAGGUUUCCUGGCUGGCAAGAAAACCUGUUGUGCUUUAACGCCUGUUAGACACUGGACCCAGGACAGCAGAAGGAGAGGUGAGAGAUGAGUGAGACAGAGGAAAGGUAGAAAAAUGCAGAUGGAGGAGCACCUUCUGAGGGUCAGGGUAAGCAAGAGUUGGCAAGGGCCUUCAAAAGGGCAAAAGAUUUUCAACUGGAAAGUCAACAAAGCUAGAGGUGCUUUGUGUGGAAGGGGUGCUCAAAAGGGUAAAGGAAGCAGGCACCCAUGAAGCAGUCUGUGAGUGAGUGCCAAGCAGAGGAGGGAGGAGGAUUGGCAGGGUGGCAUAGAAAGGCACUAAGGGGCUGUGAGGCAGGUCAGUAGAGGAGGUACCUUCUGUUCCCAGUGGCUCGCAAUAGCCAGGGCAAGUUGUCAGGAGCUCACAUUGAGCCUUGGCAUGUUGAGCUGGAAGUGGAGAAAGGGGAGCACUCUCAGGCUGCAGAGCUAAGUCAGCUACAGCACUUCCUGUCCCUGUCCUCACACGCUGGCAGCCUUGGUGGAGUGCUUCCCAGGGGCUGUCAUCCUCACCUUGCCACAAAGGAGCUGCGAGCCGGUGUGACAAGGGCACUGCCGUCCUCAUCCGGAGCAAGCACAGGUGCUGCCAAAGGCACCGGCUGCAGCUCUGCUGCGGACCUUGCUCUGUUCCUUGAGCAAAGAUUGGUUCUGUGGGGUUUGGUCAGCUUUGGAGGGCACAAGUUUGAAAUGUGUUUGCAGGUGGGAGGAGUAAUCAGUCUCACAAUGAUGCUUCUACCACUAAAUCCCUAAUUUUGCACACUCAUGUAGAGGGCAGCUCACACUGACCUUUCUCCCCAGAGCCUCAUGCAUCUACUCGUGGCCUCACAAAGCAGCCUCCAAAACCUCAGAGUCCCAGCUCUCAGCCUCAGUAGCCCCAAACCCUAACUGAGUGGCCAUGGAGCUGCAAAUAGCUCAGCUCCCAGGAAGGCAGUGCACAUCCUGCCUUGGAGAAUGAAGAGGUUGAGUCAGCCACAGCAAGAAAUGCACCCCAAGAAGGACAGAAGUGCUGGAUGCUAUUAGCACUCCUCCCUCCAAAAAAAUUCCACCUAGUCUUUGUUGUCUCAUGCCAAACCACCUUGUGCCCUUGCUAAGCCUGGCAUUGCUGGAAGGGGGCCAGCAGCCACAGCAGAGCAUGAGACAAUUAUGACAGAAAUAAUGUUUUUUGUUGUUGUUUUUGAGAGCAGCAAGGCAGAUAAUUUAAAAAAUAACAUAUUUGAGUUGUUCACAUCAUGGAGUCCCUGGGAUGCUAAGCUGACUAACCAAAUAUCUUUUAAGAAAAUAAUUUUUGCUGGGGUUUUCUUGGAUUUCCAUAUGAGUUUGCUAAUAAAAGGCAGAGGAAAAACAAUGCAAGAGGGUUAACUUGUUCCCUGAUUGAAUAACUAAAAUAAUCACUGCAUGAAACAAUAAAGAUCCAUGUGGCUUUUAUGCCACUCUGAUGACACAGCUGAGCACUCUCUGGCAUUAUAUAGCAAAUACACACACUGUAGAAAUACUAAUUAAAAACCAAUAUAAUUAGUAUUAAUUGCAUAUUGCUUAUGUAAUGAGGCAAUUUUAUAUUUGUAAUUUUAAAAUAAAGUAAAAAGGAAAAUAAUGUUUUAGGUAGUAGUUUGCCAUCAGGCUGCCCAACAGGCGACAGUGCGGGUUUUUGCUGUUCUUGCUGUUGUUUCUUCUUGUUGCUGUUUUCCCCUAUUUUCCUGACCAUCACAGACCCUAAAGACUAGUGAGGAGACAUCUCACAGGCCGUUUGUGCUACUGGCAGCACAUAAAUGUAGUAGUAAUGGUCAGGCUUGUCAAACACAUCUGAUGCCACAGCUAAACUGCUUCUAUUUCCAGCUUCUCACAAAAAAGGCAAGCCUGCUCUCCUCAUCUGACACCAGAAGCUGGGAUGCUCCCAUGAACCUGUCUUGGGAUGGCUGGGAAAGGGCAACAGUUGGUCUUUUAUUUCCCUCAUUCCCAGGUGUAUCCUCCUGCACAUGUGGUCACAACAAACAUGACUCAGGGUUUGCUGCAGGGCUGCCCUUCAGGUCAAGUAGCACUUGCGCAUGGGGCCCAGUGCUGACCAGCCCCAAAGGCUUCACUGUGCUUGGCAAAGACAUGGCCUUUGUCUUUCAUGAGGGCUGGGGUUCCCUCACCUUGCCUGUGUCUGCACCCUGAUGGGUGCCUUCCUACCCUCUUGCUGCCACGGGAUUUUGGCACCACAGACUGAAACCAUUGCCUUAUUGGGUGCCCCUGCCCCAGUUCAACAGUACCUGUAUGCAAAGUCUGUUUUCUGCUUGAGAAAGCAUGUCCCCAGAGAUAUAGAAUUAAUCUCAAUGACUUCACACUCAGUCUCACAGAUCAUUCAUCUGAUAAUUAACCAAAAGAUUGUUCAGAUUUACAUCUGAAGUCCCCACGCUUCUCCAUUGCAGCCAAAUUCCACAAGAGUAUUUGCCGACCUUUUAGUGCACAGCUUUUAAUUCCACUGCACCUCAGAACACUGUUCUUUAGCAAAGAUCUUUAUUAAGGAGAAUUAAUUAACUAGGUUUGCUGUCUGGAUAAUCAAUUUUCUUGGUAUAAAUUGAGCAGAGUUGGAAGAACGCCGAGCUGAUGCUCCUCUGAUUUCCCCACACAGAGAAUAAAAAUAGAAGAAGAUCCAGAUGGAGAAAUAUGGUAGGGAUCAGAUUCCUUCUGAAUACAGAGUUUUGGCAACCUCAGAAAAUGGGGUGAACAUUGCUGCAAUAUAAUUUCCUAAGUGCACUGGGAAAGUUAAUGUCAAAAUGUCCUCUAAAUUAGAGAUUUAGAGAUCUUAGAAGGAAAGGGAAAUGUUUCAUUCUGAAGCAACUUUUCAUUUAGACAUUGAAAGAAAGGCAAAAUCAAGGGCAAAAAUCUGAGUGAAAUGUUUUAAUUGUAUUUGAAAAAAAAAUACAGUGAACAGGCUUAGUUUGUUUUGGGUUUUUUUGGUGGGUAUGUUUUAAAUUUUCCUCUACGGAGCAGUUUAACAACCUGGUGUCUCUCAGCCCUGUGUGGAGUAUUCCUCCCCACCCCUUCCACGCUGGUAAUACUUUUUGCUGCCUUUUGAGCCCUAGACGAAAGCCC
ensembl:lncRNA